AUUACUUCAAUUGUAGGGAGUUGCUUCUUAUUUCACAUUGUAAUAGGAAAUGUUUCUAUUAAGUCAGCUUCCUGAGAUAAAAUGAAGAGUUUUGUUUUUUUCUUUUUUGUCGUCGUUAGUGGUCUCAGCAUUCUGAUCAAUAACUUUGUGUAUGAUGCUGAAUUACGAACUCUUUGAAUGAUCCAGUUGAAAACCCGUCCCUCUACUUUCUUCAGCCCAGUUUUGGAGAGAGUCAUUUUCCCUCAGUGUCUUGCGUUAUACCAAUCUAAGGGAAGAACAGGUAACAGGGAGAAAUAAAUGUCUGUCUAGUAGCUUUGGUCAUGUCUCCACAGGAGCAACUAACCGUUCAGUUGUCUUUUUAUUUUAGUUCAUUCCACUCUAAGCAGCUUGUUCCCUUCAGUUAUUAACUUUCUCAAAUGUUGCAGUAGUAGUACCUAUUACUCUGGUGGUCUCAUGGCCGAUGUUAAUCAAUCAGACUUUUAUGAUCCAUAGUAAUUAUUAGUGGAGUAAUGCACUGCAUCUUUAUCUUCUAAGUUUUUCUUUUUUAAAGCACAGUUGUUUCUUUUUUCCCUAGCCAACUAUCAUUACCCCCCCACCCGACCCCCUACCCCGGCACAGUGCUAACACUGACAUGCUGUCUGUGGACAAAUGACGAUUCUCAGAAUCUUUAGUCGAGUUACCACCAUCCCCCUUGCCUUGGUCACUCAUAAUAGGUGUGCAUAUGUUUGUGUUUCUGUACAAAACUGUGGGGGUGUGUGUAUACGCACACACACCUUUAGUAUAAUAGCUGUUUGACUAGCAGGGUUGAAGUGGCUUUUAAUUACUUUGUGGGCAUUAUUAAACACGUUUUUAAAACUAUCUGGACCUUAACCAUGCCACGCUUGGUUGACUAAUUUAUUUUGAGCAUUAAAAUUUUUCUACUCCUGUUAAUUUAGACAUUAUCACAAUUCUCUAUUACUGACUUAGAAAAGAUAUACUUAAGCUUCUGAGAAAUGUGAUUUCUUGGCAGAUAUUUCUUUGAGUCAAAUGUCUGAAGCUGAAUGGAAAUAUAUCCCAAUUUUAAAUUACUAAUUGUAGAAAGAACAUUGUUUUUAAACAAUUUUAAACACAUAAAACACUUCAAGAUCUUUAGGACUUUAAAGCACAUUUGAAAUUAUUUUAGUAAAAUUUUAGUAAGAAUUUUGUUUUUUCAAUACAUGUUGGAUUCUGUUUUUUUAAUUAAAAGAAAACACAAAGCUUAGAUUUCAGAAAGAGGGAGGGAGACUAGCUGGUGGUUCCAGAGUGUGCUGCUGUUAACUGUUUAAUUAACAAAGGGGAAAAAUGUAUAUAAACAGAUAUAAAAGUUACCAUAAAUUCCAUGAACUUAAAUCUGUGAUUCAUUGCCUUAAAACUUUCUCUCUUAGAAUUUCCAUACCGCAUGCCAAACCAGUAAAAUGGCUUUUAAAAAUGUAUAGUAGACCAAUGUCAGUUUGUAUAAAAGUACCAAGUGAAAAUAUUUAUUACAUGCAUUGGAAAAAAAAAAUUGUUUACCUAUUGAAUGUUACCUGUUUAUGUAGAGCUCU
ensembl:lncRNA